rnacentral:lncRNA from 13 species
CUUUCCUGUCCAUGGGUCUCCACAGAGCCCUCCCUGGUGUGUCAGCGCAGGGCCAUGGCUUCGUCCCCACUGAGGCCUCUUCAGGUCCAGGUAACAGGCCAGGAAGGUGCCUGUUCUGCCCUCACCAGCCUUACAGUGGAUCGCCACCGGUUGGGAAAAACAUCAUGGGCUCUCUCUAUCUCGGUGACACACACCACAUCUUGUCUAUGGAAUGCUCAAAUAUCCAACAAAUGAGGUAAAUGUGUAAUUUUUCUGUCAUAGGUGCUGCCAAAUAAGCACAUACAUACCUCCCCUCUGGCUGGAUUUUUGUUGUUGUUGUGGGGGUAGAAAGCCUAAAUUCUUGCAAUUCAACACAUUUUGUCAUGAGGCUGAGUGAAAAUGUUGCUGUUUUAAAACUAAUUUUCUGCAUUUCUAGACAUUUUGCCAUGGGGCAGAGAGAAUGUUUUGCAGUUUCAUAGCUAAUCUCAUGCUAUUCUACACAUAUUGCCAUGAGGCUGAGAAAAUGUUGCAGUUUUAAAGCUAAUUUCCUGUAAUUCUAAACAUUUUGCUAUGGUUUAUGGCGUGUUCUUGUGAUAUCUGGGGGCCCCAGGUUUAUUUUAAUUGAACCUUUAUUUAACUAGGAAAGUCAGUUAAGAACAUAUUCUUAUUUUACAAUGACGGCCUAACCCGGCCAAACCCUCCCAAUACCUGGAUGACGCUGGGCCAAUUGUUCUCCUCCCUAUGGGACUCCCAAUCACAGCCGGUUGUGAUACAGCCCGGGAUCAAACCAGUGUCUGUAGUGACGACUCUAGCACUGAGAUGCAGUGCCUUAGACCACUGCGCCACUCGGGAGCACUACCCACAAGAAGUUUCCUGGUCUCACUGAGUCGCUAAUGAGACGAGACAAGAAGUUUCCUGGUCUCACUGAGUCGCUAAUGAGACGAGACAAGAAGUUUCCUGGUCUCACUGAGUCGCUAAUGAGACGAGACAAGAAGUUUCCUGGUCUCACUGAGUCGCUAAUGAGAUGAGACAAGAAGUUUCCUGGUCUCACUGAGUCGCUAAUGAGACAAGACUAAAAGUUUCCUGGUCUCACUGAGUCGCUAAUGAGACGAGACAAUAAGUUUCCUAGUCUCACUGAGUCGCUAAUGAGACAAGACAAAAUCGACGUCUAAAGAAUGUUUGGAGAUCCCAAAAAAGGUGAGUGAACUGAACUGUCCCUUUAAGCAUACAGGUAAACUCAUUCUGUGUUUAGUCUAUUCAGCUCAUUGGUUAAGUUUUCCUACUUAUUAUGUGGGUGUCAUUCUUUUACACCAGCAAUAGUUUUGAUAGAAAAGGAAAAAUGGUAUUAUCAUAUCUAAUAUUACAUUACACAUUACAAUAGGCUUCAUCAUCCUCAUCUUACCUGAAAGAUGGCCCAAAUACAAUGUAAAUAAACAGAGCCCAAUGGGUGGUGGAGACAGGACAGGAUAACAACUAUGAUGGUUUUGGUUACGGGGGCCUUAAAUACAUCUGCCAGAAAGCACUGUCAUUGUGUCAUAUCCACUCAGCGGUCACUGAGCCCACAGGUGUUUCACAAUCCACCCAGGAUGUUGCCUAGGACAAUUAGCAAAAGAGAAAAGGAAAUCCUAGAAUAUUAGAGUGAAUUUCACUUUUUGAUAUUUUCAGUUCUUUGAUGGCAAUGUAUCAGCCAGAAGGACGAUCAUCCAUUUACAGAUAUCCAACCAUUUUUUAAACUUUUCUUUUUACAACCAACGGGAUUACUGUUUUAUCUAAGUGUUCUACCAUCACCCCUAUGGAUGUCACAUAUUAUGACUGUCUGAGAGGACUGAGAAAAAAUGUCUGGAAUCGGGUGAAGGGAAAUCAGGUAGUAUAUAUGAGGAUAUUUAGCGUGAGGCGGUGAAGUUCUAGGGAAAAUUGUCUGUCUGUCUGUGUGUUUACAUCUCUGCCUGUCUUUACAUCUGUCUGUCUGCCUUUCUGCUUGUCUGUCCUUCCGUCUGACUGUCCGUGCAGCCACAGAGGUAAGUGUAAUCUGACAAGUGCCCUUCUUGAAGGCUGUUACUUCUCGCGCAAAUGGGGAGAGGUUCAGGAUUUUUCUGA